rnacentral:rRNA from 1 species
GAUGAACGCUGGCGGCGUGCCUAAUACAUGCAAGUCGAGCUAACAGAUGAGGAGCUUGCUCCUCUGACGUUAGCGGCGGACGGGGGAGUAACACGUGGAUAACCUAGCUAUAAGACUGGGAUCACUGCGGGAAACCGGAGCUAAUACCGGAUAAUAUAUUGAACCGCAUGGUUGAAUAGUGAAAGACGGUUUUGCUGUCACUUAUAGAUGGAUCCGCGCCGCAUUACCUAGUUGGUAAGGUAACGGCUUACCACGUCAACGAUGCGCAGACGACCUAGGAUUGACUUCGGCCACCCUCGAACUGAGACACGGCCCAUACUCCUACGGGAGGCAGCCGUAGGGAAUCUUCCGCAAUGCAGCAAACCCUGACGGAGAGACCUCUCGCGUUGUAUGAAGUUCUUCUGAUCGUAAAACUCUGUUACUAGGGUACAGCAACUGUGUACGUAACUAUGACCGUCUUGACGUUACCUAAUCAGAAAGCCACGGCUAACUUCAUG